ACAUGCAAGUCGAGGGGCAGCAUAAUGGAUAGCAAUAUCUAUGGUGGCGACCGGCGCACGGGUGCGUAACGCGUAUGCAACCUACCUUUAACAGGGGGAUAACACUGAGAAAUUGGUACUAAUACCCCAUAAUAUCAUAGAAGGCAUCUUUUAUGGUUGAAAAUUCCGAUGGUUAGAGAUGGGCAUGCGUUGUAUUAGCUAGUUGGUGGGGUAACGGCUCACCAAGGCGACGAUACAUAGGGGGACUGAGAGGUUAACCCCCCACACUGGUACUGAGACACGGACCAGACUCCUACGGGAGGCAGCAGUGAGGAAUAUUGGUCAAUGGACGCAAGUCUGAACCAGCCAUGCCGCGUGCAGGAUGACGGCUCUAUGAGUUGUAAACUGCUUUUGUACGAGGGUAAACGCAGAUACGUGUAUCUGUCUGAAAGUAUCGUACGAAUAAGGAUCGGCUAACUCCGUGCCAGCAGCCGCGGUAAUACGGAGGAUUCAAGCGUUAUCCGGAUUUAUUGGGUUUAAAGGGUGCGUAGGCGGUUUGAUAAGUUAGAGGUGAAAUUUCGGGGCUCAACCCUGAACGUGCCUCUAAUACUGUUGAGCUAGAGAGUAGUUGCGGUAGGCGGAAUGUAUGGUGUAGCGGUGAAAUGCUUAGAGAUCAUACAGAACACCGAUUGCGAAGGCAGCUUACCAAACUAUAUCUGACGUUGAGGCACGAAAGCGUGGGGAGCAAACAGGAUUAGAUACCCUGGUAGUCCACGCAGUAAACGAUGAUAACUCGUUGUCGGCGAUAUACAGUCGGUGACUAAGCGAAAGCGAUAAGUUAUCCACCUGGGGAGUACGUUCGCAAGAAUGAAACUCAAAGGAAUUGACGGGGGCCCGCACAAGCGGAGGAACAUGUGGUUUAAUUCGAUGAUACGCGAGGAACCUUACCCGGGCUUGAAAGUUA
rnacentral:rRNA from 1 species